AACGAACGCUGGCGGCGCGCCUAAUACAUGCAAGUCGAGCGAGAAGACGUAGCAAUACGUUUGUAAAGCGGCGAACGGGUGAGGAAUACAUGGGUAACCUACCCUCGAGUGGGGAAUAACCAGCCGAAAGGUUAGCUAAUACCGCGUACGCUCCUUGGACUUCGGUUCAGGGAGGAAAGACGAUACCGUGGGUAUCGCGCUCUUGGAUGGGCUCAUGUCCUAUCAGCUUGUUGGUGAGGUAACGGCUCACCAAGGCUUCGACGGGUAGCUGGUCUGAGAGGACGAUCAGCCACACUGGCACUGCGACACGGGCCAGACUCCUACGGGAGGCAGCAGUAAGGAAUAUUGCGCAAUGGGCGAAAGCCUGACGCAGCGACGCCG
rnacentral:rRNA from 1 species